ensembl:lncRNA
CUUUAAUAUUUAAUCUUAAAAACCAUGGGUUUAUAAACAAUCCUCAAUAAAUAGCAUUUCAGGGUACAAAUAAACUUUACAUACAAACAGUAACACAUAAUACAAGUCUUUGCUUCACAUGUCUGUGUAUAUAUAUAUAUAUAUAUAGUAAAUCACACCCCCACAUCGACUCAACACUUGACCCUCAAAAAUGUUCUCCAAGGGUUCAAUAUCGCUUUUAAAACUGUUGAAAAAUGGGUGUUAUUAAUUUUUAAUUGUGCAAAACAUGUAGUAUAAGCAUAAAACAGUGCCCGUGUCAACCAGGGUAAAAACUAAAAAUAUAUUUUGUCAUAUCAGUCUCAACCAAAAACUGUACAAUUGUUAUAUUGUUUCUCUUUCUUCUGACAAAUGUACUUAUUGUAAGUCGCUUUGGAUAAAAGCUUCUGCUAAAUGCCCUAAAACUAAGUCAAAGGAUUGAAGAUGAGGUUCACUUAGUUAUUAAAUAUUUCUAUUUAUUCUGUCAAACUAGUCAAAGUUUACAAGUAAGAUAGCGAUAAUGUUCACAAUUUAAAAAGUUAAUGAAAUUAAUGAAAGCACAACCAUUCAUAUUUUCAUGGGAUUAUAAACUUAUUAAAACAUACGGAAUAUAAGGUUCAAUUUCUGGCGGUCCGUUCUGCUAGAUGGUGAUCACGUUUCAACCUCUUGUUUCAACCAUAUCGUGCUUUAAGUCUGCCUGUUUUUCUUCGUAAGUAAUGUAUAAACCUUUUGGAAAAUGUCCAAAGUUUAUAUUAAAAUCUGUGCUGUUGCCCAUUGGAAAAUUUGAAAAUUUAAAAAAAUGUACGCCGUCUGUACGCCGUUGAUAUAACGUCCAUUAAAACAUUCCACAUGAGGUGACAUUUCAAAGGUUGGACCAAAUUAUUAGUUAUUAUAAUUCUGAAAAACCUUCAGAUGCUAAAAACACAUUGACUUAAUUUAUAAGCUCUUUCUGAAAAUAAAUAAGCUCAUGGAAACAGUUGAGGUUUAUAGAUAGUUCUACAUAUUAAUUUAAAAAAACAAGACUGGAUUCUUUCCUCUGUUAACCCCAUUUAGCGACCGUUUCUAUCAGCUAAAUUGUUCUACAAAAAAAGGAGAAAGAAAGAAAAAUACUUAUUUUUAAAAUCAAGAAAAAUACACCAUUAGUUGGUUGUGCCUGAUUUGUGAAUAGCUUAAAAGGGAACUGUUGUUAGGUGGAAGAAAAUGCAUUUCAUACUGGAAGAAAAUAUUAUGAAAAAGACCCCUUUCAGUGAUACAAACAAACACAGAAUGCUUGGAAAAACUAGACUGACUUUGUAUUGCUUAAAAAUCUUUCUUUAUCCCUUCCGCUGGUAAUAACUCUUUAAAUCACCAUUUCCCACUGUUGCUGGAGACUGACGGUCUACCAGUGGGCUUAGUUAAAAGGUUCUGGGUUCCAACCGAAAUGCUGGUUUGAUGGUGGUGGAUGGAACUCUCUUCCAGGCGCGCAUUCAUGUUUAUUCCCAUAGAAGAAGAUGCACAUUGAACACCAAUGUGUGUGUCUUUAUAUUUGUAUUUAUUAUCUAAUCCCUCUAUCCCUUUCCUCCUCCAUACCUUCUUGCCCCAUUCUCUUCUUUAUACGGGGUAUAGCCCCAAGCUCUCUCUGCCUCGUCUUCUCUUAUGUUAUUCACAACCUAUGUCGGCUUUUGUGUAUCUAUCCUCUCCUCUUUUGCCUCUUUUCUUUAUGUCAAAUACAAAGAUUCAUACGAAUUUGAGAAAAAUAAAUCAAGCUAAUUAAUUAUUUUCCUCGCUUCUCCCCUGUCACUAUCUAUUCUGCUCUCUCGGUCUCUCUCUCUCUCUCUCUCUCUCUCUCUCUCUCUCUCUCUCUCUCUUUCUCUCGUUGGAGGCUGAGGGGCCCUGUCAUGAUGGUGUCAUUGACCACUGAGUUAAUGUGGCUCCCUGGGGGUCCACUCUCCUGCUACGCCAGCCUGAUAGGAAGAACCAAACCAGGGAGAGAGGACAGGGAGAGAGAGCUAGAGAAAGAGAGAGCGUAGUGUGCAACAUGGGAUAAUUGUGAGCUGCUUCUGAGGAGUCACAUGGGGUACAGAUGCUGCGCUAACCUCCUAAAACAUCUGGACCGGUAUUGACUAAAUCCUUUAUGAGAUAGCAAUCCGGUUCAAAAAGUCUUUGUUUACAUUUUCUAUUUCACUGUUAAAAUGUUUGGAAGAAAACCAAACACAAAACAUGAAUGAAUGUGGGUCUUGUUGGGUUGUCUGCUUCGGGGGGAGAGAAGGAGAGGGUAAAGGAAAGACAAAGGGGGUCUAAUAAUUAAUGUAUUAUAAUCUUGGUGAGUAAUUGAGAAGAUUAACAUACAAAACUCCAACAAAUGUCAUGUCUUUUAGCUAAAUAUAUUGAUAAGAUAAGUGGAACAGAAGUACUUUGUCCUAUUAACACUUUGUGCUUUGACCAGCAAACUCGACACUAACGCGGCCUGCCAUACAUAUUCAUGUACGAUUAUAUUAAUUUACUCUAUCCUGGCUGGCACUGAUAGCAACUAUUUUGUAAGAAAUCAAUUACACGGCUCGAAAAGCUUAUUGCACCAGGGAAAUUGGACGGUAAUUUAGAAUAAUCAGGGCGGAGCUACUCUGUGUUUUCAUUAAGUCCCACUCCAGUAUUCAACAGUGCCAUCUAUCCCGUUCUGCUUGUUUAUUAAAGCGAGAACUCCCUGCUUAAAGGUUGGGUAUGGGAUUUGCGAAACGCCAGCAGAUUUUGAAAACACACAACUCAAAUAGUCCUACCCCCUCUCCUUCAACACUGACUCUGACUCCACCCAUUCCAAGUACAUGGACGCGCGAGCGAACACAGAUGCGCGAGAGCAAGCCAUUAGCUAGUUAGCUAGCUCCAGUAGCUACCGCAGGAUAACAACAAACAGAAGCUUGCUCUGGGUCACAAGCUUUGAGUACGUGCACGAAGGGGUCAAGCGCGGGGAGCGGGGGAAGGGGAGUGCAGUACGACCGUUUGAUUGACGUACUCCUGCCCAAUGCAACUCGGUGGGUCUGGAAAUCAUUGGCUGGAGUUUUUCGAGCCCUGCCCGUUCCACAGAUGAUUGACUUGUUUAAUUGUCACGUCAGUACUUCUAACUCAGUGGCUGUAAGUGGGUUAGGAUAAAGAUUUCAAGUGAUUUUGCAAAAAUGGCCAAAAAAGAGAAUUCCAUACCCAACCUUUAAUCUCUCAUUCUGUGCCUUCUGUCCUCUACUAGCCAGCUACCUUUAGCUUCAGUACCUCAACAUUGAGGUUCUCCGUCCAUCAACUCUCUUUCAUCACCCCUGUAGGGGCUAGCCCUCCGGCGACGGCCCCCCUGUGGUGCCAGCCUCCUCCCCUCACACAGUCACCUCCGUCUUGCUAUGGGUGGAGCAGCUCUUGUGCCGGGUGUGGUGGGGGUGGUAGUAAGGGGGCUGAGCAGACCCCUGGUACUCCUGCUGCUGAGCGUGGCCCCCCACCAUGCCCCCGCGGUAGGCCCCGGCGUAGGGCUGGGUGAACAGAUCGGGCAGGUUCUCUAUGCUCUGCUGCCUCCUGGUGGAGUAGGCCUGCCUGCGGGAGGAGGGGUACACCCCACUGCAGGGGAUGGAGGCACGGCCAGGCGCAGACGCCUGCCUCUGGACCUGCCGGCUGUGCGGCUCCCAGGCUCUGAAAGCCGAACUGGAGAUGGAGGCGGGGUGGGAGGUGGCCUUGGGCAGGUGGGCGUGCUCCAGUUGAUCAGGGGGGAUGGAGAUGGAGAGCGGGGUGUGGGGGGGGUGCUGGCCGUGCGGAGCCGGGUGGAGAAAGGACUUCUCUGUGUUGCGCAGUAGCGGGUCGGGGGCCGCGGCUGAAGCUUGGUACUGAGAGAAGUCCAUCAGCGGGUAGCUCCUGUAGUAGUGGCCCGCCGCCGUGUCCGCUGGGGGGAAGGGAGAGGGACAAAUAGAAGGGGGAGGGAUAGUGGGGUAGAGAGAGAGGGAGAGAAAGGAGAAGGAAUUAUGGGGAGAGAGAGAAAGGGAGGAAAGGAGAGGUAGUGUGGGGGAGGGAAAGAGGGAGGGAGAGAAAGGAAAGAGAAAGUGGGGGAAAGAGAGGGAGAGAAAUGAGAGGGAAUGUGGGGGAGAGAGAGGGAGCAAAAGGAGUGGGAUAGUGGGGGGCGAGAGGAGAGGGAGAGUAGGGGAGAGAGAGGAGAGGGAUAGUGGGGGAGAGAGGGAGGCAUAUAGAGAGAGAGAGAGUGGGGGAAAGAGAGAGUAAGAGAUAGG